UUCACCCAUAAAAAAAAAAUUGCUACUAAAGUAUAUUAAAAAAACCAAAAACACGAAAAGAACUAAUCUUACUACUAUAAACAACAUAAUACAUAGCUUUCAGAAUAGAAGAAUUUAAAAUUUUGCUGUAAGAGUGUAUACGAAUAUUUAAAUACAUACGGCUAACUAUGUUAAUAAUAUUUAUCUUGUGAGGACAUGGAUUUAUAUCAGUGUCUUCAAAACAUUUAUUGGUUUCUGGAAGUAUAUUUGUACAUAAUUCAAUAAUCAUGGUCAUUUGUGUUAUUUGAUACAUUAAAUAAUGCCUUUAUAUCAUUUGGACAUUGCAAAACCGGGAUAAUUUUUUUGACUAUGUAACCAAAAAUAUAGUAUAAUACAUUGUUAGUAAUAAUUUUGAUAAAUGGAUCAUUGCUACUAAUGUUUGCAAGUAAUUUAAUGGUUGAUUCUUCUUCAUCAUCUUGUUUCAUAUAUGGUCUUUUAUAUUUCCAUUUAAUGGAAAAAAGAGAAUCUUCUAAAUUGUAAGCAAUUUGUGUUGUUAUUGGAUCCAGAUCGACCUUGCAUAUGUCCAAAGAAUAAUUCAAUUGCAUCUUGGCUGAGCUUAUAAGUUAAGACAUACUUGAAUCCAUGAUUGACCAGUAGAUCUUUUGCUAUAUUUAUGAUUGAUUUUAUUGAUGUGGCAAGUCAAUGGUAAAUAUUUUUCUUUGACUUAUCCACAGAGGCACUCCAUCUACAGCUUUAAGUGAGUAUAAAUACUGUUCAUUCUUUUUUCUUUAAAUUCUAUAUUAUCUAUAUGAAUAGGUUGUUUGAAACCUUUACCAAAAGGAGUUCUUGAAUUUAAGAAGUCAAAAAUGUCAUUAAUAUUUCUAAUAAACUGAAUUGUUGGUUCACAAUUUUUAAAGCCAUUUGAUGUUUGUUUUAGAAACUGAAGAGUAUCUGCCACUAAACUACUCAGGGUUUGAACUGCAAGUUUAACUUUCAUACUGUUGUCCUUCCAGUUAAUGUGUACUCAUAGACGUAACUAGGAGGGGAUUGGGGGGGCUUAGCUCACCUAAAUAUUUCUGUAGCCCUCCUAGAUGAAAAAUAUUGAACCACAGAAUUUUGUGAUAAAAUCUAAUCAUCUAUAUCUAUAAUCUUAUUAUCUAAAUUAAAUAAUUAUCAAGUUUGAAAAUCCUUGUUAUUCAGUGUAAUUAUAGUCAGUGGACAACAGUGGGUUUUUCCACAUGUUUUGUGUUUUCGACCACGUUUUUAUUAUCUAUGUUAUGUACUAAAUAACUCGAGCGUCUCGAACUAUCAGUCAAUAUUUGUGUCCGUCAUAUUUUAUUUGUUGAAAAGAUAAAACUUGAAUUUAUAUAUUUUGUAGUUUUACAUGGUACCCGACGGUCGACGACCGUAUUGUAUUGUAUUACUUUUAUCUUAUUAUUCUGAUUAUAGUGAUUAUUAUUAAACGGUAUUCGUAUUUCGUGGACCGUGGCUUGUGUAUUGUGUUAGUGGGUUUAUGUACUAGAGUUAAAUAGUAACAUUUGUUUAUACCUAUCUUUUAUUCAAAUGUGAAAUGUCAUUAUUUUAACGCUUAUUAUUAAUAAAUUUUAUUUUUUGUUAUACAAUUUAUUGAAUAUGGAAAAACGUGACAUUUUUAAUAUUUUCAAAUUCAAUAAGUCUAACACUCAGCUAAGUACACUAGAUAAUUAUCAAAAUAAUAUAAAUAAUCUUACAACUUUAUGUGCUUCUAAUGACAAUAUUUUAAUUUCGGUGACUGCAGAUAGUUUAAAUGCUAAUAUUCACAUGAAUGUAUCUAAUUCAGGAGACUCAUUUAAUUGUGAUCUAUGUGAUUUAGUAUCUGGACCUAAUAGACCAAUAAUAAAGGUUAAUACAAAAUUACAUUUGGUACUUAGUACAUAACAUUAGGUAAGUACAAUUGCUAGUAACUAUUAACUUAUGAAUUAUAACAGUGCUGCGAUAAUUAUGAAUGACUAUAUUUCAUAGGUGUAUUGUAAAUUAAUAAGCCUUAUUAUUGCUUUUGCUUUGCUUAGGAAUACCCAAAAUCAAAAUUUGGUUCUCAAAAUCGCGCAUUUUCAUCUUAUUAUGCUAAUUUUGAGUGGUUAGAGUAUAGUGUUAAGAAAA